GUUCGGUUAGCGUAAUGGCAACGCGUCAGUUUCCGGUCGGCUUUUCUCCACGGAGCAUACUGAAGAUUGCGGGUUCGAGUCCCGUGCUGAACU